GCCGGAGUGGUGAAACUGGUAGACGCGCUGGACUCAAAAUCCAGUGUUCCUCUGGAACGUGUGGGUUCGAGUCCCACCUCCGGCACCA
rnacentral:tRNA from 1 species